rnacentral:rRNA from 1 species
UGGGGAAUAUUGCACAAUGGGCGCAAGCCUGAUGCAGCCAUGCCGCGUGUAUGAAGAAGGUCUUCGGAUUGUAAAGCACUUUAAGUUGGGAGGAAGGGCAGUAAGUUAAUACCUUGCUGUUUUGACGUUACCAACAGAAUAAGCACCGGCUAACUUCGUGCCAGCAGCCGCGGUAAUACGAAGGGUGCAAGCGUUAAUCGGAAUUACUGGGCGUAAAGCGCGCGUAGGUGGUUCAGCAAGUUGGAUGUGAAAUCCCCGGGCUCAACCUGGGAACUGCAUCCAAAACUACUGAGCUAGAGUACGGUAGAGGGUGGUGGAAUUUCCUGUGUAGCGGUGAAAUGCGUUAGAUAUAGGAAGGAACACCAGUGGCGAAGGCGACCACCUGGACUGAUACUGACACUGAGGUGCGAAAAGCGUGGGGAGCAAACA